UAGCCUCUGUUCCAAGCCAGUUUCCC
rnacentral:piRNA from 1 species